GCGGGAGGCGUUGCUGUUAGGGAGUGCCCGUGUGGAGGCAGAGUUAGAGACCAAGCGGUGGUCGGAGCAGGGCAGGAAGCUGCAGAAGUUCAGACCCUGGAGAUCACCCAGCUGAAACUGGACAGGUAGAACAACCAGGAGGCCAUCAAAAGAUAGGAGGGACCCUGCUCUCUCUCCCUCUGUCCGAGAGACUGGACUCUUCAGCCCAGCUUCCCCUCUCUCCCCCACACUGGAUCCCCAGGAGACAGACUCUUCUCUGGAGGGCCAAGCCCCAAACGGCUCUUUUACAAACCGUAAUGGCCGCCACACUGUGGGGAAUGUUGAUGACUUCCAUGCCCUGCAGCAGCAGAUCCUAGAGGGACACAUCCUCAUUGGCAAGAUGGAGGCUGCCCUCCAGGCCACUGCCAACCACGCCCUGCUGGAGCUCAUCCUGGAUAAGCCUGCAGACUCUGGCUAGCACUAAGACCCUGCGGCAGAUCCUUGAGGAAGCCAACUCCUUGCUCAGAAUGUUCUGGAGGGCAGCCCUGCACAGUUGUGAGGGUACCCUCCGAGCACCAUGGUCAGAAACACAUACUCCUUAUAAAGCAUUCAUAAAGCAUUCAUAAUGCCUUCAUAUGCAUGACAUACAGAGACAAUGGGUCACUCUUUGUGUUUGUUUGUAAGAGUUACAUUAAAGGGAAUUGCUUUCGCUGUUAGCGUGUUAUGUGUGUGAAGUUACUGAUCAUUGUUUAGAGUUUGUGUGCUUUAGUGGUGACUUUGUUAAUACAUGUCACGUCACUCCAGGUGCAAUCAGAGAGGGGUCACACUCACUGCUCUUUACAGGUGUGUGUAGAUGUUUGAAAUGUGACGGUGUAUUUUUUGACUAUUUGUGUGUGUCUAGGAGCUGUCUCUAAAGGCCUAGCCCAAACCAUGAAAAACAGCCCCAGACCAUUAUUCCUCCUCCACCAAACUU